AUACGUAGGGUGCAAGCGUUAUCCGGAAUUAUUGGGCGUAAAGCGUGCGCAGGCGGUUUAGUAAGUUUGUAGUUAAAUCUGGUCGCUCAACGAUCAACGUGCUACGAAAACUGCCAAACUAGAGAAUGACAGAGGCAACUGGAAUUCUGCAUGUAGGGGUAAAAUCCGUUGAUAUGCAGAGGAACACCAAAAGCGAAGGCAGGUUGCUGGGUCAUUUCUGACGCUGUUGCACGAAAGCGUAGGUAGCGAACAGGAUUAGAAACCCCGGUAGUCC
rnacentral:rRNA from 1 species